rnacentral:tRNA from 1 species
CGAGAGAUGUCCGAGUGGCUAAAGGAGGGAGUCUGUAAAACUCUUGGCUAAGUUCUUCGUAGGUUCGAAUCCUACUCUCUCGACCA